rnacentral:rRNA from 1 species
UAAUUGAAGAGUUUGAUCAUGGCUCAGAUUGAACGCUGGCGGCAGGCCUAACACAUGCAAGUCGAGCGGUAACAGGGGAAGCUUGCUUCUCGCUGACGAGCGGCGGACGGGUGAGUAAUGUAUGGGGAUCUGCCCGAUAGAGGGGGAUAACUACUGGAAACGGUAGCUAAUACCGCAUAAUCUCUCAGGAGCAAAGCAGGGGAACUUCGGUCCUUGCGCUAUCGGAUGAACCCAUAUGGGAUUAGCUAGUUGGUGAGGUAAUGGCUCACCAAGGCGACGAUCCCUAGCUGGUCUGAGAGGAUGAUCAGCCACACUGGGACUGAGACACGGCCCAGACUCCUACGGGAGGCAGCAGUGGGGAAUAUUGCACAAUGGGCGCAAGCCUGAUGCAGCCAUGC